rnacentral:lncRNA from 1 species
AAAAAAAAAAAAGUAAAUACAAUAAACAAUUGAACUUUUUUUUUGGUUAAUGCUUAGGAACGGAAGGACUUUAUUUAGUAAUAAGGUUUAUCCAAUACAAAAAGGAACUGAUAUAAGCGGUGUAGUUCCAGCAACAUCUCUUUUGAGAGCUUUUAAUACAAAAGAAGGAGAUGCUUCAAAAACAUAGAGUUGAUUUAUAACCAUAUUUGGAUCUCUUGUUGUCAUUUCGCAUUCUGCUAAUAAAUCUGCCAUUGAGUUUGCCUCCCUUCGUAUGUAUUGCAGGGAUGUCUCCUCCGUCUGCAGGAGUACUGACCUACAAUCAGUGUAAAUAUGUGAGUAGAUAAAGUUAUUUCCUAUAUGAGAGUCGAUUUACAUCAUCAACUGUUAUAUUUUAUUUCUCUUUGCCAGGUUCAAAUUCAUGGAGCAAAGCUAAUAAUUCUGUAAUUAAACUGAUACAUUCCGAGA